CUGACAUCUUCUGUAGAUUCCCUGGUGAAGGAUACAGAAAACAGAUAAGAACCAAUAUUGUAAACAGCCCCAAGAAAUCAAAUUACAUUUGUGCUCAAAUGAACUAAAGAUGAAACCUUUCAUAUAUUUCCAUAUAAACAAAACCUUCCUGAUCUAUAAUCAGAAUCAUCCUUCAAGUUUACAUUACCUCUCUUAACUCUUUUAACUUUUUUUUUUUUGGACAAAUCUCUUAACUCUUAACUAAUACAACAUAAACCAUGGUGAUCAUACAUAUCCAACCUAUCGAAGAUAAUUCGUAUAAUUCACAGACGAUGAAAUACCUGUGGCAAGAGAAGACUCAAGGGAUUUGACGAUAUUGGUCAUGGAUUUGGUGAUGGUGGUCAUCUUAGCCUGAGUAUCAAGACGAGCAACAACAGCGUCAAGGCGAGAAGCGAGACGGAGAUAGUUCAUCUGCUCGCUACGCUUACGAAUGGCGUUCUCAGCGUAGAUCCGAGCACCAUCCAUAUUACCCUUCUCGAUAGCCUUCUUCACCUUCAAUUUCUC